AUGAUGGGAUUCAUGAAACUCGACCUGUUGAAGAAGUUUCAGUCCAGCUUCACUCACCGCCUUUCAUUGUCAUCGAGACAACCGACAUUGCUCAAAACGCCGCAUCCCCGGCCUACUCUCUCUUCACCCAUCAAUGCUCAUGUGCUCCGACCCUCCCCGACCCCUCCCAACAAGCAGCAGAGUCUCUUGUUCGAGCUCCACCGGGCCGGCGGCGACGACGUCCAUGUUCGUUGGGCGGAGCACAACGCUAGGGUUGAAAUCCACCAUGCUGCUACUGAUGAGGCUCUCCUCCUUUGUCCACCGGUUAUCAGACAACUGCGUAUGAGACGUCCACCGUCGUACACUCAUUUGAUCGUGCUGAUGCGCCUGGCUGUGGGAUGGCUUCUGCUGGGAUGCUCCGAGGUGAGGCCAACUCAUGAACUUGCUAAGACAUCUUUACCUUAA
rnacentral:rRNA from 1 species